GACGAACGCUGGCGGCGUGCUUAACACAUGCAAGUCGAACGAAGAGCGAUGGAAGCUUGCUUCUAUCACUCUUAGUGGCGAACGGGUGAGUAACGCGUAAUCAACCUGCCCUUCAGAGGGGGACAACAGUUGGAAACGACUGCUAAUACCGCAUACGAUCUAACCUCGGCAUCGAGGAUAGAUGAAAGGUGGCCUCUACAUGUAAGCUAUCACUGAAGGAGGGGAUUGCGUCUGAUUAGCUAGUUGGAGGGGUAACGGCCCACCAAGGCGAUGAUCAGUAGCCGGUCUGAGAGGAUGAACGGCCACAUUGGGACUGAGACACGGCCCAGACUCCUACGGGAGGCAGCAGUGGGGAAUCUUCCGCAAUGGACGAAAGUCUGACGGAGCAACGCCGCGUGAGUGAUGACGGCCUUCGGGUUGUAAAGCUCUGUUAAUCGGGACGAAAGGCCUUCUUGCGAAUAGUUAGAAGGAUUGACGGUACCGGAAUAGAAAGCCACGGCUAACUACGUG
rnacentral:rRNA from 1 species